CGUGGUAUCCUGUCUGAAUAUGGGGGGACCAUCCUCCAAGGCUAAAUACUCCUGACUGACCGAUAGUGAACCAGUACCGUGAGGGAAAGGCGAAAAGAACCCCGGCGAGGGGAGUGAAAAAGAACCUGAAACCGUGUACGUACAAGCAGUGGGAGCACGCUUAGGCGUGUGACUGCGUACCUUUUGUAUAAUGGGUCAGCGACUUAUAUUCUGUAGCAAGGUUAACCGAAUAGGGGAGCCGAAGGGAAACCGAGUCUUAACUGGGCGUUAAGUUGCAGGGUAUAGACCCGAAACCCGGUGAUCUAGCCAUGGGCAGGUUGAAGGUUGGGUAACACUAACUGGAGGACCGAACCGACUAAUGUUGAAAAAUUAGCGGAUGACUUGUGGCUGGGGGUGAAAGGCCAAUCAAACCGGGAGAUAGCUGGUUCUCCCCGAAAGCUAUUUAGGUAGCGCCUCGUGAAUUCAUCUCCGGGGGUAGAGCACUGUUUCGGCAAGGGGGUCAUCCCGACUUACCAACCCGAUGCAAACUGCGAAUACCGGAGAAUGUUAUCACGGGAGACACACGGCGGGUGCUAACGUCCGUCGUGAAGAGGGAAACAACCCAGACCGCCAGCUAAGGUCCCAAAGUCAUGGUUAAGUGGGAAACGAUGUGGGAAGGCCCAGACAGCCAGGAUGUUGGCUUAGAAGCAGCCAUCAUUUAAAGAAAGCGUAAUAGCUCACUGGUCGAGUCGGCCUGCGCGGAAGAUGUAACGGGGCUAAACCAUGCACCGAAGCUGCGGCAGCGACGCUUAUGCGUUGUUGGGUAGGGGAGCGUUCUGUAAGCCUGUGAAGGUGUGCUGUGAGGCAUGCUGGAGGUAUCAGAAGUGCGAAUGCUGACAUAAGUAACGAUAAAGCGGGUGAAAAGCCCGCUCGCCGGAAGACCAAGGGUUCCUGUCCAACGUUAAUCGGGGCAGGGUGAGUCGACCCCUAAGGCGAGGCCGAAAGGCGUAGUCGAUGGGAAACAGGUUAAUAUUCCUGUACUUGGUGUUACUGCGAAGGGGGGACGGAGAAGGCUAUGUUGGCCGGGCGACGGUUGUCCCGGUUUAAGCGUGUAGGCUGGUUUUCCAGGCAAAUCCGGAAAAUCAAGGCUGAGGCGUGAUGACGAGGCACUACGGUGCUGAAGCAACAAAUGCCCUGCUUCCAGGAAAAGCCUCUAAGCAUCAGGUAA
rnacentral:rRNA from 1 species